UGUAGUCUCGCACAGAUGCAUAUCAAUAAGCGGAGGAAAAGAAACUAACAAGGAUUCCCCUAGUAACGGCGAGUGAAGCGGGAAGAGCUCAAAUUUGAAAUCUUCAAGGUUUUACCUUGACGAAUUGUAGUUUAAAGAAGUGUUUUCUGUUGAAGUUUUGGUAAAAGUUCUUUGGAAUAGGACAUCAUAGAGGGUGAGAAUCCCGUAUUUGACCAUUAUUUUCAGCUGUGUGAUACACUUUCAAAGAGUCGGAUUGUUUGGGAAUGCAGUCCAAAAUGGGUGGUAAAUUUCAUCUAAAGCUAAAUAUUGGCGAGAGACCGAUAGCGAACAAGUACCGUGAGGGAAAGAUGAAAAGAACUUUGAAAAGAGAGUUAAACAGUACGUGAAAUUGUCAAAAGGGAAGCGUUUGACACCAGUGUUGUUUUUCUGAAAAUCAAUUAAAGAACUGUUUAUGCUAAGUUGUUUAGACUUUAUCAGCUAACUGUUUAGUUUUAGCUUUUCUUUAAUGCACUUUUCAGUUAACAAGUCAACAUCAAUUUCUUUUGCUGUAAAAAAGCUUGAGGAAGGUGGCUUGAGAUUCGUCUUAAGUGUUUAUAGCCUCUUGCCUAUGCAGUCGGAGAGAUUGAGGUCUGCAGCGUAGAUCCUUCGGGGCUAAAUGCAUUUGUGCUAAGUUAUAGCAUUUUAUAGACAACUUGUUGACUAUGAUUAGUCUUGUAGCUUACUCGCUUAUGCUAUUUUACCUACGCUUAGGAUGUUGAGCGCAUGUCUCUCUCU
rnacentral:rRNA from 1 species